ACGGAAGGCAGCAGUGGGGGAUAUUGCACAAUGGGGGAAACCCUGAUGCAGCGACGCCGCGUGAGUGAAGAAGUAUUUCGGUAUGUAAAGCUCUAUCAGCAGGGAAGAUAAUGACGGUACCUGACUAAGAAGCCCCGGCUAACUACGUGCCAGCAGCCGCGGUAAUACGUAGGGGGCAAGCGUUAUCCGGAUUUACUGGGUGUAAAGGGAGCGCAGGUGGUGAGGCAAGUCAGAAGUGAAAGCCCGGGGCUCAACCGCGGGACUGCUUUUGAAACUGUCUGACUGGAGUGCAGGAGAGGUAAGUGGAAUUCCUAGUGUAGCGGUGAAAUGCGUAGAUAUUAGGAGGAACACCAGUGGCGAAGGCGGCUUACUGGACUGUAACUGACACUGAGGCUCGAAAGCGUGGGGAGCAAACAGGAUUAGAUACCCUGGUA
rnacentral:rRNA from 1 species